rnacentral:rRNA from 1 species
CCUACGGGGGGCAGCAGUGAGGAAUAUUGCGCAAUGGGCGAAAGCCUGACGCAGCAACGCCGCGUGAGGGACGAAGGCCUUCGGGUCGUAAACCUCUUUUCUGGGGGAAGAGCAAGGACGGUACCUCAGGAAUAAGUCUCGGCUAACUACGUGCCAGCAGCCGCGGUAAAACGUAGGAGGCGAGCGUUAUCCGGAUUUACUGGGCGUAAAGCGUACGCAGGUGGCUUCGUGAGUCGGACAUGAAAGCUCCUGGCUUAANUAGGAGAGGUGGUUCGAUNCUGCGAGGCUUGAGGUUGGGAGAGGGACGUGGAAUUCCCGGUGUAGUGGUGGAAUGCGUAGAUAUCGGGAGGAACACCAGUGGCGCAAGCGGCGUCCUGGCCCACACCUGACGCUGAGGUACGAAAGCGUGGGUAGCAAACAGGAUUAGAUACCCUUGUANUC